CCUACGGGAGGCAGCAGUGAGGAAUAUUGGUCAAUGGACGAGAGUCUGAACCAGCCAAGUAGCGUGAAGGAUGACUGCCCUAUGGGUUGUAAACUUCUUUUAUAUGGGAAUAAAAUGUUCCACGUGUGGGAUUUUGUAUGUACCAUAUGAAUAAGGAUCGGCUAACUCCGUGCCAGCAGCAGCGGUAAUACGGAGGAUCCGAGCGUUAUCCGGAUUUAUUGGGUUUAACGGGAGCGUAGGUGGAUUGUUAAGUCAGUUGUGAAAGUUUGCGGCUCAACCGUAAAAUUGCAGUUGAAACUGGCAGUCUUGAGUACAGUAGAGGUGGGCGGAAUUCGUGGUGUAGCGGUGAAAUGCUUAGAUAUCACGAAGAACUCCGAUUGCGAAGGCAGUUCACUGGACUGCAACUGACACUGAGGCUCGAAAGUGUGGGUAUCAAACAGGAUUAGAUACCCGUGUAGUC
rnacentral:rRNA from 1 species